CGCGUAGGUGGUGCGGUAAGUCACCUGUGAAACCUCCGGGCUCAACUCGGAGCCUGCAGGCGAAACUGCCGUGCUGGAGUGUGGGAGGGGUGCGUGGAAUUCCCGGUGUAGCAGUGAAAUGCGUAGAGAUCGGGAGGAACACCUGUGGCGAAAGCGGCGCACUGGACCACAACUGACGCUGAGGCGCGAAAGCUAGGGGAGCAAACAGGAUUAGAUACCCUGGUAGUCCUAGCCCUAAACGAUGGAUGCUUGGUGUAGCCGGUACCCAAUCCGGCUGUGCCGUAGCUAACGCGAUAAGCAUCCCGCCUGGGGAGUACGGUCGCAAGGCUGAA
rnacentral:rRNA from 1 species